AUUAUCUGAGUCUUGCAGGUAGGUGCCUGUGAAAACCUCUCUUUUGCCUGCCUCCUGCCUUCCUAAGGUGUGUGUAUUGACAGAGGCGGAUAGGCCAGUGGACUCUUUGUUUCCACAGUUGUGUUUUCUACUGCCCUUUUUCAGAAUUCUAGUUAGAGUCAUGGACUCAUGUUAAUAUAGCAGUGAUCCCUCUCUUGAAAGCACAAGGCUCAAUAUUUGUUGUACCGAAUGGUAGGAACUUUUCAGCUUUAGUACCCUUCUAAAAGAGUUAUAAAUUAAGUUUUAACUAUUUCUGGGGCCCCUGAGUGGCUCAGUCGGUUAAGUGUCCAACUGCGGCUCAGGUCAUGAUCUUACAGUUCGUGAGUUCGAGCCCCGCAUCUGGCGCUGUGCUGACAGCUCAGAGCCUGGAUCCUGCUUCAGAUUCUGUGCCUCCCUUUCUCACUGCCCCUCCCCUCCUCACACUCUGUGCCUCUUUCAAAAAGAGAUAAAAACAUUACACAAAAAAAAUUUUAACUAUUUCUUCCCCUGAUGCUAUAGCUAAAAUUGGUCGAUUUUUGUUUUCUUUCACUCAGGCCUUAUAGAGGGAAGUGAUUUGUCCAAAGCUGUAUAAAUAAAUCAUUGACAGAGCUGGCAUUCGAGCCUGUAUCUUCUCCAACAGCUAGGUCUGACUUUGUUGACUACCUCUUGGAAACCAGUGUUCCAAUUUCAUCCCCAGGGUCACAGACAGCCUUGAAGCCAGCAGCCCGGUCAGAUUUUAUGUCUAGGUUAAGCCAGCCUUGGUUGCCCUGCUGAGGGAGAACAUCAGCAGUGGGAGAGCUGGGGUAUGUGGGCUGGAUGAGGGAGCUGGCCAGCACUCUCCUUGUGCAUUUCAUAGCCCAGCCUAGUGGAGGGGUCUCAACAGUGCCAAGGCAUGGGGAGCAGAGCGACAGACGGAGAGAGGCUUGAGGACACAAAGGAGGAAGCGUGCCAUUGCCAAGACCCCAAGGAAGAAGGACAGAGAGCGCUGGCAGUCCUGUCUGGCCCCCAGCCAGUUUCCUGCUGAAGAUGGCCAAAUCCUCUUGCCUGGUCUGUGUAUGUCACCGUGCGAGCAUGGUGGGAGCAGGGGGGUGGCUUGCUUGCUGAGCUGGGAUCUAGAAUGGGAAGGGCACCUUUCUGUGGAUCUCGUUUGGACUUUCCACUCUAACAAGUGAGGUAUCUGAUUUUCUCCCUGGUGCCUUCCUCUCCUCCCCCUCCCUCCACUCCACCCCUCUUUCAUCUCUCUAUCACCAUCUGGGUCCUACUG
rnacentral:lncRNA from 1 species